rnacentral:rRNA from 1 species
UGGGGAAUAUUGGACAAUGGGGGCAACCCUGAUCCAGCAAUGCCGCGUGUGUGAAGAAGGUUUUCGGAUUGUAAAGCACUUUCGACGGGGACGAUGAUGACGGUACCCGUAGAAGAAGCCCCGGCUAACUUCGUGCCAGCAGCCGCGGUAAUACGAAGGGGGCUAGCGUUGCUCGGAAUGACUGGGCGUAAAGGGCGUGUAGGCGGUUUGUACAGUCAGAUGUGAAAUCCCCGGGC